UACGUAGGCAGCGAGCGUUGUUCGGAGUUACUGGGCGUAAAGCGUGCGUAGGCGGUUGUCUAAGUUUGGUGUGAAAUCUCCUGGCUUAACUGGGAGGGUGCGCCGAAAACUGGGUGACUGGAGUGUCGGAGAGGUAAGCGGAAUUCCUGGUGUAGCGGUGAAAUGCGUAGAGAUCGGGAGGAACACCAGAGGCGAAAGCGGCGACCUGGACAGGUACUGACACUCAACUACGAAAGCGUGGGGAGCAAACAGG
rnacentral:rRNA from 1 species